GUCUUCAUUUUGGCAGCACAUAUGCUAAGAAUUGAAAUGAUAUAGAGAAGAUUAGCUUGGCCCCUGCGCAUGGAUGGCAUGAAAACUUGUGAAGCAGUCCAUAUUUUU
ensembl:snRNA U6 U6 spliceosomal RNA